UACGUAGGGUGCGAGCGUUGUCCGGAAUUACUGGGCGUAAAGGAGCUCGUAGGUGGUUUGUCGCGUUGUUCGUGAAAACCGGGGCUUAACCCUCGGCGUGCGGGCGAUACGGGCAGACUUGAGUACUGCAGGGAGACUGGAAUUCCGUGGUGUAGCGGUGGAAUGCGCAGAUAGUCAGGAGGAACACCGGUGGCGAAGGCGGAUCUCUGGACGGUACUGACGCUGAGACGCGAAGCGUGGGAGCGAACAGG
rnacentral:rRNA from 1 species